rnacentral:lncRNA from 1 species
GAGACAAAUAUAAAUUAGUUAUACAGAGGCACAAGACAAACCUUGAAUAGAAGUUCUAUAUCGUCUUACUGAGAUCAUUUUGCGCCUAAGCAUCUUGAUUUCCCCCUCUACUAUCAUCAUUCCUCCAGCUUGGUUUACUCAUGGAUCUUAGGACAAACGUCUUCAUUUCAGUACUGCUUUUAAUGUCCAUUUCUCUAAGAAAUGGAAAUUCUAGAGCGUUCUUCAUCAGAAAGAAAUGAAAUGUGGUAGCUUGCUAAGCUCCAGCUUUUCCAACAGGGAAAUAAGAACUUGUUAGUCAUUUCUUCUCCUAGUUCCUCUCCCGUCAUCACUUCUCCUUUGAUGGAUAAUUUACUAUCAACAAUAUUCAGAGAUUCAAAACAUAUAUGGAGACAUCAAGUUUCACAAUUUGUCAUACUGAUUACUUCCAAUAUUUUGAGUUCACUGAACUAGCCAGUCGGCCGGGGGUCUAUCGGAAACAGCCUCUCUACCUCUUGAGAGGUAGUGGUAUGGAUUGCGUACACACUACCCUACCCUCCCCAGACCCCACUAUGUGGGAAUAUACUGGGUUUGUUGUUGUUGUUGAAAUAGUCAGUCGAAAGUUGGUGAGAGCGUAAAGCGGUUAUGUUGUCAUCCCCAACGAGGUCUAGUCUUUACAGGCUCAAAAGUUUGGAAGCCAUGCAUUUCAUACAUCUUCAAUUACAAACAGAAAAAAUGGAACCACAUCUCAAUAUCCAACAUUAAGGUAACAUGAAGUAAAGAAAUCCAUUCAACUUGGUCGGCACAUUUUUUGAGCCAUUUCUGCUUGUGAAUAUACGUUCGCUCUUCUUAUUUCUCAUCAGGAGGCAGAUUCAAUAACCCAAUGAGAUGGUCUCAAUAACAUGGAGAUCUAUAUUCAUGUAAUAAGUGUUUGACAGCAAAGACACAUGGCAAAAACAACCUUCGUCCACUUUUAAAUCGUAGUGUUAACUUGGAGGAACGGACCACUCUAAUAAAAUUCAUAUCCAAAACUCUAUUAGUCAAUUUUUGUAUCUUUUGUGACAACACCUUUAAACAAGGGCGUAAUGGAGCUACAUAUUAACACAUUGAGUUUACUCAUUCCAACGAAUAAAUCAUUAAAAUAGUUUUAACAUUCACCACUCAAGCAAAACAUUGGUUUAGGAUCAACUACCAAAUAAUUUUCUAUAUUGAAAAUGAAAAGCACGAACAACAUUGGAUAUCAUCACAAAUUCCUUUCCAGACGAAUCUAAUUCGAGAGUUCUAUGCAAUCACAAACCCCUCCUUAAUCUGGUCCGAGAAUUUUAUGCGAUUACAAAUCGCUUCUGGUCCGAGAAUUUUAUGCGAUUACAAAUCGCUUCUCGAAGCUAGAUGCUCUAGAAGCUAGUGAGAGAAUUUUAUGCAAUUACUGCCUGCCGAAAAUAGUCCGAAAAUCCUAUAACGGGUGAGAUAAAAAAUUCUAUGCUAUUACCAAUCUCUUCCUAUAACGGGUGAGAUCAAACUCUAACACGUGCCUAUUCUAUUACCAAUCUCUUCGGUGCGAUCAAACACGUGCCUACUUCGGGUGCGAUCAAACUCUACAGCCUUUUUAGAACAUGUGCCUGCUCUGGUUUAACUACACGUUCAACAGCCAAAUCCGCACUUUGGAAGAAGCAGCUCCUAAACCAAAUCCACACUUUGGAAGAAAAGGAGAGGAUCUUCAUCCGAGAAAGGGAGGACCUUAUAGUUAGGAUGGCCUUCUGCAUCCGCAGUGAAAACAACUAAGCGUUGUUCGACUCAUCUGGAGUUGAAGAAGGUUUAACUGAAUGUCUGUUCUGUAAUGUGUUUUAAUUAAAGUUGUUCUUGUUUUUUGUGGAGAUCUACUACUAUGCGUUGCAUCUUCGUUGAGUAUGUAUUCCCUUAUAAUGUUGUGUUGUGUGGCUGAUCUAUACGACCUUCCCAUAUAAGAAAAUGCAAUACAAGUGAUUUCUUUUCUACCCCUACCAUACCACAUAUUCCAAUAAUAGUGAUGCUUUCAUUUCUCAAAGCCACCAUUACCUCUUCCUCAAUCGAUUUUCUUGAUGCAAACUCCUCAUCGCCGUUAUUUGGUAUAGCUUCAAUUCCAACAAGUGGUGCAGGAUAGGAGAAAUCAACAUAAUCUCCGCCAUCCACUGCAAUUUUCUUAGCUCUUCUGCUCAGCAAGUAACUGUUAGAUCUACAAAAUUGCAGAUUCAUGUGUUGAGAAAACCCUAAAGGUGGAGAAGAAAGAGGAGAAACAGUGUUUCAUUGUGUAAUGAGUUCAUCUGUACAUUAGGCGUAUUUACCUAAAUAAUAGAAAUAUGGACGGGCCAAUGCCAACUUGGGCCUGGAUCAACAUUUUGAAACAUGGGCCGAUG